AGCGAACGCUGGCGGCAGGCCUAACACAUGCAAGUCGAACGAACUCUUCGGAGUUAGUGGCGGACGGGUGAGUAACACGUGGGAACGUGCCUUUUGGUUCGGAAUAACUCAGGGAAACUUGUGCUAAUACCGAAUGUGCCCUUCGGGGGAAAGAUUUAUCGCCAUUAGAGCGGCCCGCGUCUGAUUAGCUAGUUGGUGAGGUAACGGCUCACCAAGGCGACGAUCAGUAGCUGGUCUGAGAGGAUGACCAGCCACACUGGGACUGAGACACGGCCCAGACUCCUACGGGAGGCAGCAGUGGGGAAUCUUGCGCAAUGGGCGAAAGCCUGACGCAGCCAUGCCGCGUGAAUGAUGAAGGUCUUAGGAUUGUAAAAUUCUUUCACCGGGGACGAUAAUGACGGUACCCGGAGAAGAAGCCCCGGCGAACUUCGU
rnacentral:rRNA from 1 species